CUGAGCUUAGAUCGCAGCCUGCUGAGACUCCAAGCUAAGUCGGAGAAAUUUGGCCCCGUUUUAAUAGGGCUGGGGAAUGAGCUCCGGAGGUCAAUAAAGCCCUCCAAAAAUAAUGAAUGAUUGAGCACCUGUGAUGAUGAUAGUGAUUACCAGAGCAAUUAAACAGUUUGAUUAAAUGAGCCAUCAUAACAAUGAUGUCUGCGGGAAAUCGGCCCUCACAUAUAAAGAUAGUGCGGAGGGGCUGGCAGAAGCGAGGGUAGGGCGACGCCAGGGCGCGGGGCUGCGGACUGCGAGGUAUUUGCCCAGUUGACCAGAGCAGGGACGGCCGGGCACUCGGAGCUUCGGAGAGGAGAGUCUAGACCAGACUUCCAGCACUUUUACGCCGGGCUUCAAGCCUGUAUGAUCCAACGGGUAUGAAACCGGCAGGUUGUGGGGAGGGUCCGUCCCCCUCCUAUUUUUUCCCUAGAAGAACUCCAAGAUUAAAAGCAUCCUCCUUAUUUGUUGCUGAAUUUCUCGUCGACAUUUAAGAAAAGGAUUCCGUCCAAGUCUGAUAGGAAAGACAGGGCCACUUCUGGAUGAGCUGUAAGGAUGCGUUUUCAUUUCCAUAACAUUGAAGCACUUUUUAUAAACCUUAUGUUGUAUUUAAAUAAAUCUGUAUGGACAUUAAGAGAAGCGAUGCAUACAAAGAUAGCUUGGCUUUGUGCCCUCAAUCCCAGCAUUAGGGAAAAAAAAUCCAGAAUCCACCUGAGAAGCUUUUCCUACUCAUCUUUUCCUCAAAACAAACAAACAAAAAAACUUAAAAAAAAAAAAAGGCAAAAGAAAGUUCGCUGCGUGCAUCUGUGUGUCUUCAUGUGCACGUUUAUAAACAUCUCCCAGUCGGUGUUUGCGUGUUACCUCCCUCCUGCCACACACUCAAGAGGCAGAAGAGGCAUCGAGGGAUCGCCCCCAGAGAGUUGUGUUUACUUAGGUUUUUUUAAUCUCUCCGCCAUGUAUGACAAGUGUUACUUCAAGAAAUUCAUCAGCCUUCUACAGAUACUUCCAGUUUUGCUGUAAUGAUCUGCAGAAGAGAACUGCCAUCACUUUCUCACAUCCCAAGGUGUUGCAGGAACUCAGAGAAAGGGGAGAGCGGCUGAAACGCUUAAUUACAGCGGGGGAGGGAGGAGCGUGAGGCCCCGACGCAGGGAGGAGGGAAAGGAGGAAGGUCCUUUACCUGGCGUAUACCUGGAGAAAGCUCCGAAUACUCUCCGUGAAGAUUUGGGAAAGGUACGGUUGCCCUUUUUUCUUUAAUGCCUUUGGGGAGAAGUGAUACCCUUGUGUAACAAUUAGCUCAGACAAUAAAAAUAAUUGGAAAAUCA